AUUGAACGCUGGCGGCAUGCUUUACACAUGCAAGUCGAACGGCAGCGCGGGCUUCGGCCUGGCGGCGAGUGGCGAACGGGUGAGUAAUACAUCGGAACGUGCCCAGCUGUGGGGGAUAGCUCGGCGAAAGCCGGAUUAAUAACGCAUACGACCUGAGGGUGAAAGCGGGGGAUCUUCGGACCUCGCGCUAUUUGAGCGGCCGAUGGCAGAUUAGCUAGUUGGUGGGGUAAAGGCCUACCAAGGCGACGCUCUGUAGCUGGUCUGAGAGGACGACCAGCCACAUUGGGACUGAGACACGGCCCAGACUCCUACGGGAGGCAGCAGUGGGGAAUGUUGGACAAUGGGCGAAAGCCUGGUCCAGCAAUGCCGCGUGUGUGAUGAAGGCCUUCGGGUUGUAAAGCACUUUUGGCGGGAACGAAAAGGACUGUGCCAAUACCACGGUUCGAUGACGGUACCCGCAGAAUAAGCACCGGCUAACUACGUG
rnacentral:rRNA from 1 species